UGUUCCAUUUUCAGUUGGUAGAGCACAAGACUCUUAAUCUCUAGGUUGUGGGUUCGAGCCCCAACUUGGGCAA
rnacentral:tRNA from 1 species